ACGUCCUGCCUCGUGAUCGUCUUCUCAACCUUCACCCGGCAGGCGGAUGAAGGGAAGGCCCCCGUGAGGACGUGACUCGCGGGGGCCUUUC
rnacentral:ncRNA from 1 species